GCCUGGGGGGCUCAGUCGGUUGAGCACCUGACUUCGGCUCAGGUCAUGAUCUCGCAGUUCACAAGUUCGAGCCCUGCGUCAGGCU
rnacentral:tRNA from 1 species